UUACGGCCAUAUCACGUUGAAACAUCGGUUUUAGUGCGAUCACCGAAUUUAAGCAACGUCGAGCCUGGUCAGUACUGAGUUGGGUGACCACUUAGGAAUACCAGGUGCA